ensembl:misc_RNA predicted gene, 23671
UGUGAGGAUGAUCUGGCUGAGACAUCUGCCACCCCAUUGAUUGCCAGCUGUAGUUCAGUUGACCUGGAUGCCUAGGCACGUGUCACCUUCCUCCCACACUGC